GAAAUUUUACGUACGAAAUUGAGACUACAAUAAAACAAUAUGACAAUGUUAUCCAAGACAAGCAGGUAAAAAUAGAAUAAUAAAUCAAACGUUUAAACAUUUAGUAAAGAAUCUUGACGUCUAAAUAUUACAAGCGCUACAAAGUAGUAUCGUUAUCAUUUCAUUUUUUGUUGUGGGGGAGAUAUUUUCCAUAACCCGUUUAUUUUCACUUUAUUUACAUAUGGUACGUUACGUAAAAGGACAUUGGCUGGUUUUGAAAGACGUUUUUUUUAAUAUUGAUAAAAAUUGAACAGUACGCUUUUUAAGAAUACCGCAAAUAGGACAGUUAUCAUAUACCAAAUAGCUUUAAAAGCUAUAUUGGCAAAAAAUGUUUACUUGUUUAGAAUUUACUUUGUUUGAUACUUCUAACAUUAAUUUUGAAUUUUGAGUUCAUAACCAAAUCGACAGUCUGUAUCAAUGCUUUUUUUCAAUUAGAUCACCCUUCAAUCAUCUGAAAAUUGCACAGAAUAAAAAUUUGAUCUAUAAAAACAAUAUUUCUAAAUCAAAUGAAUUUCUCUUUUGUAGUUGUUUGACGCAUGCGUGAAGUUCCGUCACAAAUACUACAUGCACUUUCACAACGAAAGACCAUUCAAUUAUGUAAUUGAGUUCUAAACCGACAAGCCGAUCCGUAGUUUUAGUGCUGACACACGACGUAGCCGUUCUAUGGAUGUUGUUCCGAAGACCAACCACACCAAAGAGGCAGUUCACUUUUUUCCUAUGGGUGUUAAAAAUUUGAAACUAUUUGAUGACUUUGAAAUCAGCAAUAAACAUUGGCAUAUACAGUAGAAGCAUGUUAAAGCAACUUUUAGUCCUGC
rnacentral:lncRNA from 1 species